rnacentral:lncRNA from 1 species
AUUGUUAGAAGCACUGGACACAGUGAAUUCAUCCAUGGUGAUUCCCCAUUACUUUUAGGCCCUCAAUUAAGAAGCAGAAAAGAAGUUGAAAAUUAAGCAGACCCUCUCAACCCUGGAAGACUUCAGGUUUUUCCCGGUCUUGCACAUAGCAGGCACUCCAAAAACGAAUGCCCUUCCGAGUGACCUGCCCGCUGGCCAGUCCUCCCCAGUCCAGAGGUAACUUCUGCUGGGAGGGGGCCGGGGCAUCAUCCCCACAGGUUUAGCUUCUUCCUGCAGUUCUACCACCAGCUUGGGGCUUUUCCAACACAAACACUGCUUUGCAGGGGCAAAGCAGGGGGUGGCUUCCUUUCUCCGCAGAGCAGUUCUCAAAGUUGCCCUUGACCCAGGCCUACAUGCAGCAGCCCCACUGGGGCUGUGUGGAUGGAUGGCUGCUUCUGCAUUUCAGGAAUUUUCAGGUUUGCCCAGGUCAGAGGUCACAGGAGGUGGGGGCCGUACACGCGUCCCUGGUGGCUGCGGGAGCGGCAUCUGCGGGCCCCGAACUCCCACCCCCCGCCGCUCCAAGGGCAAGAGGAGCGCGUGGCGGACCAAAGAGAGCCCGCGAGCGGCCGCGCGCCCACCAAUAGGUGCGGGGCUCGGAGCCGCCCAGCGCGCGCGGUCCCUCCCUCCUCCCUCCGCCCCCGCCCCCGCCGCCGCCGCCUACCCCUCCUGCCGCUCCUGACUCUGCUUCUCC